rnacentral:rRNA from 1 species
GACGAACGCUGGCGGCGUGCUUAACACAUGCAAGUCGAACGGAAAGGCCUCUUUCGGGGGGUACUCGAGUGGCGAACGGGUGAGUAACACGUGAGUAACCUGCCCUUGACUUUGGGAUAACUUCAGGAAACUGGGGCUAAUACCGGAUAGGAGCUCCUGCUGCAUGGUGGGGGUUGGAAAGUUUCGGCGGUUGGGGAGGGACUCGCGGCUUAUCAGCUUGUUGGUGGGGUAGUGGCUUACCAAGGCUUUGACGGGUAGCCGGCCUGAGAGGGUGACCGGCCACAUUGGGACUGAGAUACGGCCCAGACUCCUACGGGAGGCAGCAGUGGGGAAUAUUGCACAAUGGGUGGAAGCCUGAUGCAGCAACGCCGUGUGCGGGAUGACGGCCUUCGGGUUGUAAACCGCUUUCGCUCAUGACGAAGCUUUGUGUGACGGUAGUGGGUAAAGAAGCACCGGCUAACUACGUG